rnacentral:rRNA from 1 species
GACGUAGGGCGCGAGCGUUGUCCGGAAUUAUUGGGCGUAAAGAGCUCGUAGGCGGUGUGUCGCGUCGGCCGUGAAAACCUGCAGCUUAACUGUGGGCUUGCGGUCGAUACGGGCAUCACUGGAGUUCGGCAGGGGAGACUGGAAUUCCUGGUGUAGCGGUGAAAUGCGCAGAUAUCAGGAGGAACACCGGUGGCGAAGGCGGAUCUCUGGGCCUUGCCUGACGCUGAGGCGCGAAAGCUAGGGGAGCGAACAGG